UACAGAGGUCUCAAGCGUUGUUCGGAUUCAUUGGGCGUAAAGGGUGCGUAGGCGGCGCGGUAAGUCGGAUGUGAAAUCUCGGAGCUUAACUCCGAAACUGCAUUCGAUACUGCCGUGCUUGAGGACUGGAGAGGAGACUGGAAUUUACGGUGUAGCGGUGAAAUGCGCAGAUAUCGGGAGGAACACCGGUGGCGAAGGCGGUUCUCUGGGCCUGACCUGACGCUGAGGAGCGAAAGCGUGUGGAGCGAACAGG
rnacentral:rRNA from 1 species